GAUGAACGCUAGCGGCAGGCUUAAUACAUGCAAGUCGAGGGGCAGCAUGAGUGUAGCAAUACAUUUGAUGGCGACCGGCAAACGGGUGCGGAACACGUACACAACCUUCCUUUAAGUGGGGAAUAGCCCAGAGAAAUUUGGAUUAAUACCCCGUAACAUUAUGAUGUGGCAUCACAUUAUAAUUAUAGCUCAGGCGCUUAAUGAUGGGUGGNGCGGCUGAUUAGGUAGUUGGCGGGGUAACGGGCCCACCAAGCCUGCGAUCAGUAACUGGUGUGAGAGCACGACCAGUCACACGGGC
rnacentral:rRNA from 1 species